UUUUUUUUUUUUAGUUUAAUUUUAUUUUAUUUUUACCCUCUCUGCCUUAGAAGGUCAUGAUUUUCCCAAAUGCAAGUCACAUCAUGUUGCUAUUUCUGUGAACAGGGUAUUUAUUGCACAUAAAGGAAAGGUUUUGAAAGAAUUGAGACCGGUGUUUAAAAAAGAAGAAAACCUCUGAAAUCACGUUGUAGUUUUUGAGAACUGUUGUAGUUAAACUUGGAAGUCUAUGGUCUUUUCAUGUUUCAUGUUUGUUUUCAACGACCCCACCUCCACUCCUAUUUCCAGUUUCUAAAGAAGCAUCUUAGUGGAUGCCCAGGGGCCUGUCCACCAUCCUCAGUGCUCCCCUCCCCCAGGAAAGUGCUCUCUAGAUUCCUUCAGCUUCAUUCAGGAAGACACUCACUCCUCUUGUUGCCUUGGGAUGUAUUAUUAUGCAAAUGUGAAUUUAACUAGAGGUUGUUGGAUUUGUUUUUAUGUUUUGUUUUGUUUUUUUUUAAAAAAAAAAAGUCUAAAUGUGGUCAUCCUUACUCUAUUUUAUAUCCUGAAUUUGUAACUAUGCAUUUUCUGAAAAGGGGGAAGGCAGGGAAAGAAGCCGAUUUGCAUCCUUAUGUACUCCAGUUUCUGUGUCCAUGGAAUCCCCAUGUCUGGGAAGGGAAGAAGAGGAGAGGAGAAGGCUCGCUAGGUCAGCAUAGUGAGGGCGAGAGGGACCUCCCAGACCCCAUCCUCUGGAAGGUCUGAUUGCCAAGCAAAUUUGGGGGAGAGGGGGGUCUGCCAUGUCUGUCCAUCAUUACGGUGCAGGAUUCUUGAUACUGGCCAUGCAGUGUUAACCCAGGGCAGCCAUGGAAGCUCACAGGCUCCAGUAUUCUCUGAACUCUGAACCCUUUCAAGCUCAGGAAACCAUGCCACACUCUGCUGACCUGAGAGUUCAUCUUCUUCUUUUACGUUCUUUGUUUUCAGUCAUUGUGUAGGGUACCACUCCUAAUUAUGAGCCGAGAAAGAGGGCUGUUCCCUUCCAUGUCUGCUCCCUGACCUCUGUUUCCCUCACCUGUACUGAGCUGGUGGCACAGCGAGUGAGUUGUGGGACACUGGAAUGCUUUCAUACUUUCUCUUUGUUGUUACAACAAUUCCUGUGUAGAGUUGGACUAUGCUAAGUCAUAGCGCCUGCAUUGCUCUGGUCUAGGCAUUAUUACAGCACGUAGUAUAGAAAGCCAGAGAUGUUCAGCCUGUCUUCAGUGUUUCCCACACAGCAAUCUCUGUUAUGUUCACAGUACUGUAAUGAGUGACAGACGUGAUCACAGUCUCCUUGUGUCUGUGCAGGGCUGCACAGGCAUGAUUGUAUCAGGGUUCCAAUCUGUUCGAUUGCCUUUAAACAAAAGCAAAACAACAAGAAAAUCCUGAUGUUUCAAGUGUCUGACACAAAAUGAUACCUCAAGGUAUAUCUCCCCUGCAAUGUAAACCCUUCACUCCUCCUUUCUUGACAUCAGUGAGCUAUUCUUUAUACAAUAAGGAUGUGUAAAUAACCAGAUAAGUCUUUGAAACAUUUUCUUUGCUGUGAAAAUAACCCUAAAAUAUGAUAUUUGCAUGUUAAGCCGUCAGAAGUUUCAGAUCUGAAUUCUUGUUGAUGAAGAAAAAGCAAAGCAGACGGGUGGGAUGGCUUUGGGUUUGUGGUUUGCCUAUUCUCUCCUGGUGUCCCUCCCCCGCCACAGCACAGGGCAGCAGACCAGUGACCACACCCUGCCCUAACUAAAUGCCAUCUCUUCCACCACCAAGGCCCCAGGGUGGGCAAUAUCUGAAUUUCUCUCUUCCAUAUAUGAUCCAUACCCUCCAGGGACUUCAAGAAGUUCUUUGCCGUGUGUGUGUGUGUGUGUGUGUGUGUGUGUGUGUGUGUGUGUGUGUUUACAUGUAUGCACUUCUUGCUCUUUAAGUGUGGUCCUUUAAUCCCCAGUGGAGUUUAGUCCCUGAUUUUUUAGUCUGUCCCGUAGCCUUUUUAGCAAUGUUCUGGAAAUGUAUUUCUUACUUAGAAGGAAAUUGAGCUUAGAGCUGACAUCCUUAAAAAUCCUUGUUGGCACAUGCUGCCUGUGAGGGUGCUGACAGCCGCUGCCCUCCUAGACCGUGGGCUCCCUUGAACAAGAGUAGAAGAUUCAUUUUAUCUCAUUUUAACUCAAAUCUAUAUCUGUUAAGAAGCUAUAGUCAAGAGUGCUUUCCUUGAUCUGUUUAAUGACGACUUCCUUUGAGGGAGGAAUCUGGUUGAAAGUGAUGGACAUCCCUUGCCUAUCUUCUGCGUGGCACUGUUCCCUUGGAUUUGACUUCUGUAGUUUGUCUGGAGGUCCUUGCUUAUCAGUGUGCUUUCUCCUAUCGACGGGGUUCUGCCUGCCCUUGUUUCCCUCUCUGAUGUUCCCAAAGGGCUUUGCUGAUGUCUGCACCUCUUUCUUGGGGCAUUCCCCUACUACACCCUUUGCACACACCAGUGACCAAAGUGUAUGCAGUGGUCUCAACACAUGACAUCAAAUGGUGCACGCACCUCUAGUGUGCUCACAGAUGUGCACAAGAUCUGCACCCUUGGCCUUAACUUCAGCACGACUUAAGGUGCAGGAACAUUUUUAACAGGUUUAAAAAUAACCUUUUCUGGGAGGGAAAAUCAAGCAGAUCCAACCGCUCCCCACUAUCUGCUUGCAACUCAUUCUGCAUCCAGCCCAGCCCAGCCCUGUUUUGCGUAACCAAAACCAACAACAGAAAGCAACCUAAGGAGAGGUCUCUGGACUGUUUUAUCUUUCUCCCUUUCGAUGGAGAUACAAAUGCUGCUUUGGGUUCCAUAAUCCUAGGGGGCUAUGUUUACAUAGUGAAACUAAUUCUACCAAAUCAGGAAACAGUGAGUAGUGAGAGACCCUUCAGUAAGAAAUCACUGAGGCUGAACCAGAGGUUUAAAGACCUAGGGAUGGGACAGAGGAGGAGAGAGAUCCUGUUUAACUCACUGCAACACCAGGGUCACUCCCUCCUCUCUGCUCUCCCUGGCCCUCUUUGCCCCUUUAAUCAAAAGGUUCAGAGAAAGACACCAGAAAGAGGCUGAAGUUUUUAAGAGGCAGCUUUCCAACUUUGCACACAAAUGGAAGGUACCAUGAAAAUCCUCUCAUCCGAAACACUCGGCAGAAACAACCUGUCAAAUCAAAAGGACUAAACUGCUGCCCACGUUGAUGCGCUCUGCGAGUUACCUAUAAGUGUUUUGUUUUCUUAUACUUGAAAACACUUUUACAAUAUUAUGUUGGUGGCUUUCUUUUCUCUCUUCUGUUGGGCAAUUGAAACUGCAGAUGACAAAUGUUAAGGCUGUUUGAGGGGAGAAAAGGAAGGCUGUGGCAUUGUCGUUUUAACAUAGAGGUUCAGUCAGACUCCCAUAGGGUAACAUUGUUCAUCUUACUGGUUUAACAUGGACACAGAAACUAGGCACUUUGGUGGUUCACUUGCACGGCAGGCCGACCCCCUUUCUAUAUUUUAUUUUACUUUUUUAGUAUAGUGGUACUUAAAAUCACUGGUUCACUUAAAAAACAAAUGUUAAACUCUACUAAUGUACAAAUAAGCUGAAAAGUUGCAUUUUAUGUGUAUUUUUGCCAUAGCAGGUACUGUAUUUCUCAUGCUGGAUUUCAAAAAAAAAUUAUAUAUAUAUAUAUAUAUAUAUCAAAAACAAACAAAACUGAAGGGUGGUGUUUUCUCAGAUUGUGACAGGUUGAUUGGUAAGGAUUAAAGUCGUAGUCAUUUCAUUAAAACUGAGAGAUGAUGUAAUGCAUAUAUAAGAGUUUUCUGAAGGGUUUUUUGGGCUUUUAAACAGCUUAUUUUGUUUUUUUUUUUAGUUUUUAUUUUAUUUUAUUUUGGAAAGAUAUGAUUGUAUUAUGUGCAACUCAGUUGCUUACAUUAUAACUACAAAAUAUUUUUGAGUUCCUGGAAAAAAAAGAAAAAAGACUAAUAAAUGUGUUUGGCUGC
rnacentral:lncRNA from 1 species